ensembl:lncRNA
GAAGGGAAACAACAGGUGUUGUACAUAGCCUGCAUUUGGUAGAUGUACAUAAUAUAUAUACAGACAUCCAGUGGUAAAUACAUGAUACAGACAAGACCAGUUUAGUGGAUAUACACUGUGCUGAUAGGGUUACUAUUACAGGGGUAAGGGGAGUAGGAACAGAGAAACAUGUCGAUGGUGGCAAUAAUAUAUAUUGUAUAUAAAUGCUAGCAUAGGGUAUGAGGUAGAGUAAGUGUACGGCAGUGCGGUGGCGGUGGGUGCAAUUGGUCGAGGGUUUCUGCCGGUAGACCGGGUAGAGAGACUACAGCAGCGUCCCAUGGCGAAGAUAGUCUAGAUUAGGAGAGAAAGAAAAAGAACAGAGUGAGUGGGUUAUUAUAGGCAUUAGCAAUGUGAUAAGAAAGGAGAGGGAGAGGGAGAGAGAGAGAGAGAGAGAGAGAGGCUGCCUGGCUGGGUGUAUGGGGAUUUUAUUUAGUAUUUAGUUGGCUGGUGACAGUCGCAAUACGCGCCGUGUGCUGUACCCGGGAUCUUCCGCACUCCUUCACGGUACAACAUACGCUGUCUGUAGCCCAGUUAUGUUGAUUAGGGGGGUAUUGCAUGUGUUUUAGAUGUGUUUAGCUAUUCUGGCAUUUAGCAUUUAGUUUGGUUUGGCAUUUAGUUUGGUUUAGCAUUAGUUAUGUUUAGUUAUGCUGCCAUUUAGCAAUUAGUUUGGUUUGGUACAUAUGGAGAUUUUAGUCGUAAGCUUUGUUAGGGUUGCAGGGUACAACAUACGCUGUCUGUAGCCCAGUGAUAUACUUUUUUCUUUUCUUUUUUUUUUUCUUAUGUGUUCAGUUAUGUCUAGUUAUGCUUGCUGACUGGCUGGCCCAGCAGGUGAUGGGUUUGUUGACGCAAUUACUUAUGGCUAUAGGAUGCACUAAAGAGGAAUGUCUUUAGUCUUGAUUUGAAUAUAAGUAGGGUGUCUGCAUCUCGGAUGGAGGCAGGAAGAUUGUUCCAGAGGAGGGGGGCUCGGUAGCUAAAGGCUCUGCCUCCUACUGUGGUUUUUGAUAUUCUUGGAAUUACAAGGAGGCCUGCACUCUGGGAACGGAGCGGUCUUAGAGGGCAGUAGGGGACAACUAGUUCCUUAAGGUAGUUUGGAGCCAGGUCAUUUAGGGCUUUGUAUGUUAGCAGGAGUACUUUGAAAUCAAUUCUACUUUUGACAGGGAGCCAAUGCAGAGAGGCAAGUACAGGUGAGAUGUGCUCAUAUUUUUUAGUUCUGGUGAGUGUACGGGCAGCAGCGUUCUGUAUAAGUUGGAGGCUCUUUAUUGAGUUGAUGCUGCAUCCGGAGAGGAGAGCAUUGCAGUAAUCUAGUCGGGAAGUAAUAAAUGCGUGGAUUAGUUUUUCUGCAGCUUGGAGGGAUAGGACUUUUCUAAUUUUGGCAAUAUUGCGUAAAUGAAAAAAUGAUCUCUUUGAGAUCUGUUUUAUGUGUGAGUCAAAUAGGAGGUCUUGGUUGAUAGUUACACCAAGGUUUUUGAUGCUAGUAUUGGGUGUUGGGAUGCCAUCGAGUGUGGAUAGAUGGCUAGAUAGUGUCAUUCUCAAUUGAUCGGGGC